AAUAGCCUUCAUUUCUCAGAACAAGAUUAGACUGAGUUUCAGAAGAAAGUUCUUUAUUUCUGGCCAUUUUGAGCCUGUUAUCUAACCCACAAAUGUCGACGCUCCAGGUACUCAACUAGUCUAAAGAAGGCCUGUUUCUUUAAUCAGAACAACAGUUUUCAACUGUGCUAACAUAAUUCCAAAUGGGUUUUCUGAUAAUGGCACUAUGUACGCCUAUGUAGAUGUUCCAUAAUAAAUCUGCUGUUUCCAGCAACAAAAGUAAUUUACAACAUUAACAAUGUAUACACUGUGUUUCUGAUCAAUUUGAUAUUAUUUUAAUGGACAAAAGCUCUUUCUUUCAAAAACAAGCACUUUUCUAAGUCACCCCAAACUUUCGAACGGUAGUGUAACUUUUUAUUCAAGUAACUUAUCGACAAGGGAUACCCACACAAGGUGGAUAUAGUGAGAACCCACUGAGUGAAGUUAGUAUAUAACCCAGAAGCGCUCUCAGCAUAGGUGCAACCUCUGAUGUACAAUGGUUCCAAACACUAACCCCACACAUCCUGUGCCAGACCUUAAGCCCCAAAUACCAAUAACUUGUUUUGUUGAGUACUAGAAACUUAGGACAUAUGUUAAUUUGUUUUCUCUCCCCUGGUUCAAGGUGAAAACUCUUCCCCUAGGAGGAGGUGACUGAUGCACACACUGGAGACAAGUGAUUGGUUCCCCAUUACUCACGCCACACAUGGUUUGCAAUAAAGACACAUUUCACAUAUGGAAACAAUGUUUCCUCCUUACCUCCUUUGCCAUAUUCCUAGCUGAUAUUCUGCAUAGCAAAGGGGACAUGUGAAAGACAAGCCUGACUUCUCCCCUCUCUGGGCCUCAGGUGACUGAGGCCCAUAUGAGGGAGGUAGUGCAGCUGCCAACACCAGAGUCGGAAAGGAGACAUUCUAAUGACGAGUUCAACAGUUCAAACAUAUAAGCAUAUUCUGUAGAUAAGACAUCUUAAUUAUCUAUGUUACUUCUGCUUUCUCCACCCCAGUACUUUUCCACCACUGAGUACAUACAUCUAUUGUAUGGUCAGGCAAAAAUAUUGUUUGACCAUUUCUACAAUAUCUGGCAUACAAGUUAUGUUGACCUGUCAAUGUUGAGACUACUUUUACAUUUAUGGUCCGGGUUGCAUAUUGACUCAAUUAGCCUAUGUGUUCAUGUUAUGAAUGUUGUAUGCUAUGAAGAGAAUUAUGAAGUAUCAUUGAUUUCUUUUCAGGCACGCCGUUUUCAAUCAUCAGCAGCCAUUCAUGUGUUAUGCAGAUACUGGUUUCAGGAACGAACCUGCAGAACUGGGACAGAAUCUGUGUUCAGCAAUGUUCCCUGGCAGGCGACAACGAUACCGCAAAGCGACGUCUACAAUUGUGGCGUUUAUGUGCUGCUGGACAAUGGAUCGGAUCCCAGCCGGCGACCCAAAACAAAGGCGCCGCAGACUGAUCGUCUUCUGGUCAGGCUCCAUAGACGGGGACACCGCUCCUGAGCAUACUACUCGCCAAUGUCCAGUCUUUUGACAAGAGUGCUCCAGUUGAUCCGACACCUCCUGUGCUGGGAUAUCCAUCACCAUUUAAAAUCAACACAUGGAUAAUCCUGCCUUACAAUGGAUAUGCUCACCCUGCCACAAUUGAAUACCUGCACACCAAGGCUACUAUUGGGUUGAUACUGUGUCAAAUUGAUAUCAUUUCCAGAGGUGUAAACGAUUUACAACUACAGUAGAAGGUAUAUUUUAGGGCUGUCCCAGACGGGAAAAAAUCUUGGGCGACUUAGUCUUCCUGUCCUUUCCACCAAUCGAUUGGUCUAAAUGUUUAAAUAUAUAGACACACGCCCUAUGUUUUUGAAGAAACCCACUACAUAUGCAAUGAGCUUGUCUGAUGCUUAAGCACACUGUUUGAUUCAUUUUGCUGUUGCAUGAGGCUUGAUGCUCAUGGAACGAGUAAGCUAUUAAACGGCCAAUCGAAGCAGGAACGGUCUUACUUCUGUAGAUGUAUAAAGCCAGGGCGAUUUAGAAUUUAGUUAGGUCGCAGUUGCCAUACCAGGCAGUACCAUGCAACCUGUCAGGAUGCUCACGAUUUAAAGCUCUUAAUGCUGCCAUUCGACUCAACAGAAGCCACUGGAACGGCAAGCAGGAAGAUAUGAUCUAAAAGCUCAUGCUGAAAUUCUGCCUUAUUUGCCUGACUUACUGCUGCACAUUUGCAAUGUUGAAUUUGACUCUUUGCACUUAAUUGGAUUGUAAAUCCGAUUACCCAUGCUAAAUCUGUUCAGUCCCCUGUGUGGGAAUAGGUUUUGUCACGUCCUCUUCAACUGUCUUGGUGUGAGUAAAAUCCAACGCAAGGUAGUUGGGUGGUGAGAUUUGGAACAGGAGCCAGAGACAGAGCGGUAACUGCAAUGAGAGGAUAUACGGUGUCAGGCAGGGAAACUGGCACAGCAGAGUAACAUGAUCUUGAGUAAUCAUAACUGGCUAAAAUCAUAAACUGACUGAGCAGAGAUUACGAUCUGGCAGAGUGGAAGUGGCAGGACUGUGUAUUUGUAGAGGUCUUGAUUAUGGAACGAGUUGCAGCUGGUAGGGAUCUGCUGACUCCAGCACACCUGUCUCCAAUCCCACAGAGGGAGAGAGUGUACAGGGGGGAGUAACUGCAGGUCAAUAAGACACCGGAUGAACACCAGAGGGCAUAGCAGGAGCAGAUGUGACAGGGUCCUCAUUGACUGGGGUCGACGAGAGCUUUUUGGCCGCCACAUUUAGCUUCCGAGCUGAUCAUCCCUACUCAGCCACUCUUUAAUCCCAUUGAUGUUCGAGCAUUGAACGGGAGCUCUAUAGGUCGGACACCUUAACACCACUCCCAUAAACCUACGGGUGUCAGGGAAUCACAGCCUGACCAUUCAGUUCCUGCUCAUUAAGUCCCCCCAGAUUCCUGUGGUUUUGGGAUUCUCCUGGCCCCAACAGCACAAUCCACUCAUCAACUGGUCUACUAGUGCAAUUAUGGGCUGGAGUCCGUUCUGCCACGGCCAUUGUCUGAAUUCGGCACAACCUGCCCAGGUAAUGAUUCCUGUGUCCUCGGUGGUUCCGGACCUCUCUGCCAUUAUGGCGGAGUACCAGGACCUCUGGGAGGUUUUCAGCAAGUCCCGGCCCACUUCCCUUCCACCGCACCGCCCCUAUGACUGCGGGAUUGACCUUCCUAGUACCACUCCGCCCCGGGGACGUCUUUACUCAUUGUCGGGACCUGAGAUGAAGGCUAUGGAGAACUACAUUGGACUCUCUAGCUACAGGAUUUAUCCAUCCCCCUUCCUCUCCCACUGGCGCAGGCUUCUUCUUCGUGGAGAAGGACAAGACACUGCGCCCGUGCAUUGACUACAGGGGACUCAAUGACAAUGUUAAGAACCAAUAUCCGCUACCACUCAUUUCCUCGGCCUUCGAGCCGCUCCUGGUGGCAACUGUAUUCUCCAAGCUGGAUCUACAAAACACCUACCACCUAGUGGGGAUACGAGAGGGGAACGAGUGGAAGACCGCCUUCAACACGGCCAGCGCCCACUACGAAUAUCUGGUCAGGCCCUUUGGCAUCACAAACUCCCCUGCCGUGUUCCAGGCUCUGGUGAAUGAUGUUAUCCGUGACAUGCUGAAUCGAGUUUGUCUUCGUCUUCCUUGAUAACAUCCUUGUCUUCUCCAGCUCCCCACAAGAACACAUUCUUCAUGUCCGGCAGUUUCUCCAGCGCCUUCUGGAGCGAUUUCCAUCGCUCCACCAUUCCCCUUUCUGGGCUACAUCAUAUCUGCUGGGAGUGUCCAGAGCUCCAAAACAACUGUGCAGUUACAAAAAAUACAGACGAGAUAAAAGUAACAAGUAAUUAAAGAGCAGCAGUAAAAAAAAAAUAUAUAUAUAUAUAUAUAUAUAUACCGGUUAAGUAUUGUAAGAUUUGCCAAGUGUAGGGCGAGGGAGAGUUUUGUACGCAUCUCUGUGUGUAGAGUAAAGGUGGUCUACAAUUUGUUUCCCUCUAGUUGCGCAUUUAACAUGCUGAUAGAAAUUAGGUAACUGAUUUUUAAGUGUCCUUUUUUGUAAUGUUAAUAGGAUAUUUGACAUUGUAACAAAUUGACUAUUUUUAAAAUGAACCAUUUUUACUCAGUACUUUUUAUAAAUUUUAGAUCCUUUUACUUGUAGGUUUAAAAAAAUAUAUAAUGUAAUUAAAGAAACGGUGUACCCUGAUACUGUCAUAUUGCAAUACUGAACUGUGUAGAUGGGUAAUGGUUGAGUUGGCAUAAGUUCGCUGAAAUCCACUAUCAUUCGCUUAUGUUUUGUUCGUUUCGUUUUCAGUUUGUCUGAUUGAAGAACCUCUAGGUUAUUAGAGAAAUGCACAUGCUAGUUUUCAUUUGGAAUUUAAACUACUUAAAAGAAAAUUGAGUAACAAUUGGCAGGAAGACAACAUAGCUACAGUAGGUAUUUUCCUUUCUGCAACUUCUACAGAAAACAUUAACCAUUUUAUAUUGAUGAAAAAGGAAUUUGCACACAGUUGGUGUUUACAUUAAAAAGCCUUAAUUACCAUAAUGGUAUAAAGUCAUUGACUCUUCAUUAAUCUAAUGUAUUGAAAGACUGUGCUAAAUGUCUUGGGUGUGAUGGGAUAAGUUAUACUAUCCUGACUGUAUUAGUCUCAAAUGACCAUUUCUGAAUUUACCUAUAUGAUUUUAAAAAUAUUCUGUACAAGGUGACUUGUCAAUAUUUACAGUGCUUCAGAAAGUAUUUGGACCCCUUGACAUGUUCAACAUUUUGUUACGUUCUACAAUUGAUUUACAUUGGUUUUCUCUCAUCAGUCUACACACAGUAGCAAACAAUGUCAAAGCAAAAACAGAUUUAGUGUAAGGGCACAAGGUGAGACCCAGAUGCAGACACGGGAGGCAGAUGGUUAGAGUUUUGAUAUUUAUUAAACAAGCCAAAAGGGCUAGGCAAGAGAAUGGUUGUGCACAGGCAAAAGGUCAAUCAGUUCGGAGUCUAGGAGAUACAGAGUAGCAGGCAGCCUCGAGGGCAGGCAGAAUGGUCAGGCAGGUGGGGUAAGGAGUCCAGAAAACAGACAAGGGUUAAAAAAAAAAAAAAAGACAUGGUAGGGGAAGAGAAUGGGAAUGGGAAGAGAAUCGAAGCAGGAGUAAGGUGGAAAUGCCUUUUUAUGCUCUCUUCGAGCAAAGCAACACUGAAGUGAGCAUGAAGCUGUUCCGGACAAAUGUGUGAUCAUGCUCUCCAUAGCCGAUGUGCGCAACCCCAUAGAAAAUCUUUGGAGGGAGUUGAAAGUCCGUGUUGCCCAGCAACAGCCCCAAAACAUCACUGCUCUAGAGGAGAUCUGCAUGGAGGAAUGGGCCAAAAUACCAGCAACCGUGUGUGAAGACUUACAGAAAACAUUUGACCUCUGUCAUUGUCAACAAAGGGUAUAUAACAAAGUAUUGAGAAACUUGUUUGUUAUUGACCAAAUACUUAUUUUCCACUGUAAUUUGCAAAUAAAUUCAUUAAAAAUC